rnacentral:rRNA from 1 species
CCUACGGGGGGCUGCAGUGGGGAAUAUUGCGCAAUGGGCGAAAGCCUGACGCAGCGACGCCGCGUGGGUGAUGAAGGCCUUCGGGUUGUAAAGCCCUGUCGGGUGGAACGAACGAUCUGGCGGCGAAUAACCGCCGGGUGUGACGGUACCACCGAAGGAAGCCCCGGCUAACUACGUGCCAGCAGCCGCGGUAAGACGUAGGGGGCGAGCGGUGUUCGGAUGUACUGGGCGUAAUGCGCGCGUAGGCGGCGAAAUCCCUCGGCUUAACCGGGGCACGGCAUGCGAUACUGUCUGGCUCGAGUCUAGGAGAGGAGAGCGGAAUUCCCAGUGUAGCGGUGAAAUGCGUAGAUAUUGGGAGGAACACCGGUGGCGAAGGCGGCUUUCCGGACUAGUACUGACGCUGAGGCGCGAAAGCUAGGGGAGCGAACGGGAUUAGAUACCCGAGUAGUC